GCUAGGCAACCAGUAAAGAUUACAGAGAGGUGAUCUCUGAUUCUGAAUUAGAUGAACUGGAAAAUACUAUGUCAUCAAUGCAGAUAUCGGAAAUCGACUAAAGUUGGCUCAAUGAAAGUUUUGAACAUGAAACAAUUGAGGAAGAUGAGGAAAUGAAAAGUCUAUUAGAGCGCCUAAGGAAAAAAAAAAAAUAGAGCUGCAAACCCAGGUGAAGACUAUUGUUUUCAGACUGACCCAUUAUGGUCACCAGAAGAGGAUAGUUCAAUUGAAGAGCCAGACCCGGAAAAUAGACUAAAAGAAUUGCACUGGUGGAACUGUGGACAGUGCCAAAUCUUGACAUCAGUAAAUGAUUGUUUAUGUUGCACAGAGAUCUAUGCCUUGGAAAGCCUAUUAACCCCAGAAAUUACUUGUAUCUGUAAACAUCCAAGGUUUACUGAAGUUUGUCAAGACCGUGAUCAACUCAUUGGUCUCAUUACAUCGAUGCAAAUUACCACUGGUCGGACAAUGGACUCCAAAAACCCUCGAUGUCUUCGUUUGGCCGCUUAUCGAGCAUUUACUAUGUGGGUACAUGGCCCACUGGGUAAACAUAACCGGAGACCAAUUCCAACGUGUGCAGUUCUAAAAAUCAGAGCACUUUUUCCCGAUCAAAAUGGUUGUUACACGGGUUUUCGCUAUUAUCAAGACGUUCCACUUAUCCAAUCUGAUUUGGAUUUUAACUUUUAAUGCGAUUUAAUUUUGUUUUAGUUUCAAAGUUGUCUUCCAUAGUUUUAGAAAAAAUAAUUCUAAUUCUUGAAAAAAUGGUUGUAUAAAUUCAUCCAAUUACCUUUGAUAUGAAGACACAAGGAACCAAUUAAUCUAUUAUGAUUGUCCAUAAUAUCUCCUUUCCCGGAUUGAUUCUUUGGUAUUUCCACAAAUAUAUACUGUAUGUAUCCUGGCGUUACGACCACCUUUUAAUAACAUAGUAGAGGAGUUUAUUUUACAAUAUAGGAAUAAGCACUAGCCAAAUGGCACUUCAGCAUUCACGUCCCCAAGCAGGCAAGUUAUUUAUUCUACAGUGUGCAAGGAUCAUCUCAGUUGAUCCAUCGUGUAGGGUGGUCCUAGCCAAGGAAAAUAUUUGUAUAUAAUGAAAUGUUAAAGGGGUUAUCCCAUCUUAGACAAUGGUGGCAUAUCGCAAGAAUAUGCCCCCAUUGUCUGAUAGGUGCGGGUCCCACCUCUGGGAUCCGCACCUACAACGAGAACGGAGCCGGGGAUAGUUGUGGCUGGAGGACACUGGGUUUCCAAGGGUCCGACCACCACGAGGCACAGCUCUCCGCCUCUCCCAUUCAAGUGAAUGGGAGCGCACCGCACAAACGCGGGCAACGCUCCCAUUCAUUUCUAUUGGGCCGACGGAAAUAGCCGAGACAGCGAUCGGCUAUUUUAGGCGACUCCAUAGAAUUGAACGGAGGGCGGCUGCACAUGCGCAGUGCGCCCUCCUCCACUUUCUCUGCUCUGUUCUCCUUGUAGGUGCGGGUCCCAGCGGUGGGAUCCGCACCUAUCAGACAAUGGGGGCAUAUCCUUGCGAUAUCCCCCCAUUGUCUAAGAUGGGAUAACCAGUUUAAAAUGAAUCUAAAUAACUACAAAAAGGACAAUCAUAGUAUAUAAAAAAUUACUUAUACUGAAUAUAAUCCAAUGGCUGAAUUUAUACAACUAUCUUUUUUAUUUUAUGUACGAUUAGAAAAAAAUACAAAACAAAGACAUAAGUCAAGAUAACCUAUAGAAUUUUAACAUCUAAGUAAUUUUAAAUUACAAUAUCGACUAAAUUGUUCAACACUAAAAUUUAAACAUAUAUUUUAGUUUUAAUACAAUGAACCUAAAAUAUUACCUAACGCACUUAUAGCGGCCACCUCUAUCCAAAAUAUUAGAUAUAUCAUCCAGCUAGAUCUGCAUUGAUAUAUCGGUUUAUCCAAGUUUUUGUAUUUAGGUUGGCUAUUUAUGUGCAUUACAUAAUUUUAACCACUCGGUGUUCACUGUAUAAAAUUUCAGAGAUGAAUCAUAUUUUAUUCUUCACCAAUUAAUUCGAUUUUGAAAUUUGUAAUUACUUAGAAGUGAAAUUUAAAUGGACACACUUUUCCACGAUUCAAUGGACACACUUGACUAACAUCUAAGGCUACUUUCACAUUCUCUGCAGGCUUCUACGGCUGUCAUGAGAAAACCAAGGCCGAUACUUGCUUCCGAUUGUGCAGAAGUUCCAAUCAAAGUCUGAAUGGUUUUAUUCAGCCAUCCUCUGUCUGUCUGCUGUGAUCUUGCCGGAAACCCAGAACGUACAAAUUUAUUGACAAUGCGAUUGGAGCGGAGUUUGAGAGGUACUACUGCACUACAGGCAGCACUUGUCUGCCUUGAUUUUUGUCUACCCUGUACAGCCGGCUUGAGAAGCCUGACGAAAUCGAUAAAGUAGAAGAAGAUAUUUCAAUUAUAUUAUUACUUUGGUUUAAUAAAAUACAGCAAAUUUUGUCAAUCCUAAACUAAUGUUUGCUAUCAAUAAAGUUUAUCCAUAUAUGUACAAAUUACAUUCUAUAAAAAUCUCAAAAAUUUGAUAUUAUAUGUUUUGA